CUGUGUUACAAAUCAAGAGCAAUUUCAAUGAUCUUGUUUGCACUUGUGUUUCAUUUUAAAUAGCUGCGUUUUUCAGGUUCAAAAUUUACCGUUUUGCAUUUUAGUAAGACUUGCCACUUAGUUCCAUGUUUUAUUCAUGAACAUGUUUCAAUUUGAAUUGGUGAAAUAGGCAACAAAAAUCAUCUGUAAUGAUGCAACAAGCUUACUCUAACCUGUAAUUCAACUGUCAACUUCAACUUUUACUCAAGUGGGAUCGGCUGUUUUCAUUUCAAAUAAUACUUGAAAGAAACUGUUAUUUACAGAUUUUGAUGCCCCUUUUGCUAUCCAGAGGAAUCCUUAAAAAGAUUGUGAACUAAAGACGGAUCAACAUGUUAUUUGAAUUGGAUUAGCGAAGCCAACUAGCCUCUCUAAGCAGGAAAGUGUCAAUAUACAGUUACAUUAUUUGAAGCAAAAGACAUUUCAAUAAUCUAGCUUCAUAAGUGACUGUAUUUUUACCUGGAUGUAAAGUCUCGAGCUCUAAUGGAGGCUCAAUGAUUGCUUUAAUUCGAGUCCCAUGCUCUUCGAUGUUGGUUAAAAAAGUUAGACACUCCUGAAGAAAUGAAUCUUUCAUUACAAUAAUCUGUUUGGCCAUAUUUUCCAGCAAUGAAAGGAAACAUCUUUUAGCAUAAAACCAAGUAUCUGUUCCCAGUUUCUUGUUGAAUGGCUCCAAACUUUUAAUAACUCGAGAGAUACCAAACUCGUAAUUACCCUUAGCACAGUAUAAAGUACCUAUGACCAGGUUUACAAUGCAAAGAUGAAAUAUUUUCCUAUCUGGUUCAGAAUAAGCCAAUUGCUCUUCCUCUUUCUCGAUCUUCCUCAUCAACUCUUCAGCAUUCUCAUUUUGACCAGUCAUUAUAUAAGAGACACAUAAAUUGGCUAAAACAAUUGCGCUAACAUUCAGGAUGUUAUCAUAUUUUUUCUUGACCAAAGGCUCAUAAAAUCCGGUUGCUUCUUUGAAUUUGUUUUCCUAAUUCAACAGAUUUACGGAAAACCUUUUCGACUUGUGAGUAAGCUUCCAUGUCCCAGUAGAUUCUUGCCUGAGCCAUGAGAACUGGCAUAAAGCUGUCCAAAGCUUUAUCAUAUUCAUAAUUCAACUUCUUUAUCACAUUCUCAUCACUCAUUGGAUUAACCUUGGCUUCUUGGAUUUGUUUGGAUAGCUUCCUCAAUAGAUCGCUGUGCUUAGCCGACAUUUCAUCAAACUUUCUGUAAGCUUCUUCAGGUGACGUCUGUUGGGUUAUUAGAGCAUCAAGAAACUCGUAUAAAUAAGGAGUUAGAUAUUUUAGAGCAAUAACAGGUUGGCAAAGGUUUCGUGUGGAAAUGGAUUCUGUUGGAUUAAAAAUUGUAAUUUUUCAAAACCUUCGGCUGGAUCAAUAUCAAUGGACAUUAAAGCUGAAUUGUGGAGAGUAACGGCAUCAAGCUCUUCUUCGGAUCGAGGUGGCAUAUCAGUUAACGCUUCUUGAGCAGCUGCCAUGUUUUUAUUUUGAUAUUCAAUUGCGGCUUUUAAAUUGAAUGCUUCAACCAGAGCAGUUUCAUGUAAAGUAAUUGUGUUCCCAACCGAUCGAACCUCAAUUCCUUCAGUAGUCAUUCCGACACUCAAUUCAGGGUGAUCUCGAAUACCUAAAUACGGCCAAAUCAACAGUAAAUUUUAACUUUAAUAUUUUUUAA